GACGAACCGAGCGAACGUUAUUCGGAAUCACUGGGCUUAAAGGGCGCGUAGGCGGGCCGUCAAGUCAGGGGUGAAAGCCUCCAGCUCAACUGGAGAAGUGCCUCUGAUACUGGCGGCCUCGAGCGAGGUAGGGGCGUGCGGAACUUCCGGUGGAGCGGUGAAAUGCGUUGAUAUCGGAAGGAACGCCAAAGGUGAAAACAGGUUGCUGGGGAUGCGCUGACACUGAGACGCGAAAGCCAGGGGAGCGAACGGG
rnacentral:rRNA from 1 species